rnacentral:rRNA from 1 species
AGAGGGUGCAAGCGUUAAUCGGAAUAACUGGGCGUAAAGAGCGUGUAGGUGGAUGGUCAAGUCAAAGGUGAAAUCCCCGGGCUCAACCUGGGAACUGCCUCUGAAACUGUCUGUCUAGAGUAUGGGAGAGGGAAGUGGAAUUUCCGGUGUAGCGGUGAAAUGCGUAGAUAUCGGAAGGAACACCAGUGGCGAAGGCGACUUCCUGGCCCAAUACUGACACUGAGACGCGAAAGCGUGGGUAGCGAACAGGGAUUAGAUACCCUGGUAGUCCACGCCGUAAACGAUGAGAACUAGACGUUGGGGAGCCCGAGAGUUCCUUAGUGUCGUAGCUAACGCGUUAAGUUCUCCGCCUGGGGGAGUACGGCCGCAAGGCUA